rnacentral:misc_RNA from 1 species
CAUAUCAUCAUCACUUUCUUCCUUUGGCUCCUCCUUCUUCUCUUCAGCAGCAGGGGCAGCUGCUGCACCACCUCCAGCUGCGGCGCCACCGACGGGGGCAGCAACGGCAGCGACACCACCACCGCCGGCACCAACGUUCAUGAUGAGAUCUGAGAUGUUUUUCUUCUCGGCAAGCUUGGCGAACAAGAGAGGCCAGUAAGGCUCCACUGUGACAUUUGCUGCUUUUACAAUAGCAGAAAUCUUCUCUGCGGUGAUGGCGAUGUCAUCGUCGUGAAGGAUCAAACAAGCGUAGGUACUAGCAAUUUCUCCGAGCGACAUUUUCUACUCAAUCGAAUUACCUGUUCCUUAGAGGAUAAGAAAAUGGCGGUCUGCUUCUUCGGCUGCUGGAACAGAGAAAAAACACGCAAAACAUUUUAAAUCAUUAGCCAAGAAGGCCGAUACACCUUAAGAUCGCCCUUCCCACGAUUCAUGAAGAGACAAACCAUCUAAAUCCGACCUUUUCUGCAAGUUGAUUCAAGGGAGAAGCCAAAGAUAAGAUUGGACAACUCAUAUUUUAGUUAAUCAGUAGAUACUUCAGUUUAUUCAAGAAUUUUAGCGAAGUAAAAGUUGAGUCUUAUAUAAAUAUCAAGAAGAG